AUGAGGAAGGUUUUUGUACGACGGCUCAAUGAGUUUGUAUCACUGUGGUGGACGUUCGGUGGAGGAACCAGACUGGAAGUUAACUUGGGUCGAGUCGCCCCCACCCUGACGGUGCUGCCCCCCUCCAGCCAGGAGCUGCAGCAGGGGAAGGCCACGCUCACGUGUCUGGCCAACAAGGGCUACCCCUCAGACUGGAGUCUGGCCUGGAAGGUGGACGGCAGCAGCAGCAGCAGCAGCAGCUGGGAGCAGAGCAGGAGCCCCGGGGUGCUGCAGGAGGACGGCCACUACAGGUGGAGCAGCACCCUGAGGCUCACUGCAGACCAGUGGGGGAAGGUGGGCUCUGUGACCUGUGAGGCCACCCAGGGCUCCCAGACUCCACUCUCAGAGACACUGAGGAGAGACCAGUGUUCCCAGUCCUGACCUGACUCACUGGGACUCUGCUACUGGUUUUACUCUGCUACUGCUCUCACUCUGAUCUCUGCUACUCUGCUUUUUUCUCCCUCUGUCUCUUUAAAUGUUGCAGUAAUGAUGUUUCUUGCUUGUUGAUUUUAAUAUUUCAAGAAAAUAAA